rnacentral:snRNA from 1 species
GUGUGCAAGGCAAACGCCCUGGCUGCGGCAUCUGUCACUCCAUUGAUCGCCAGGGCUGAUUCGGCUGAUUUGGCUGGCUAGGCCGGUGUCUUCUUCCUUCCUCAUCACUCCAUGUGAAUCCCUCCGAAGCUGUGGGCUUGGUCAAAGAGGAUGGCCUUCCCCGAAUAGAGACUGACCAGUCUUCAGUUGAGUGUAUACGAAUAGCUGCACUCCCCUGCUAGAACCUCCAAAUGAGCAUCACCAUAUGUGACCCAAAAUCAAGAAAUAAAUAAAGAGAAAGAAAAAAAAGAAAGGAAGGAAGAAAGAAAGAAAGAAAGAAAG